AUCCAGAUGACGAGUCCCAAAUAGGACGAAAUGCCAAUCCAGGAU
rnacentral:hammerhead_ribozyme from 1 species